GUAACAGCCCAAAAUCUCAAGUAUUGCUAAGUUGCAUUUUGGGGGUGUUUUAAAGGGGAGACUCGACGAGUUGGAGCCAGACUCGCCGAGUAGGGUCGCAGGUUUGGUCGCGGGUUCACGACUGGACUCGACGAGUCCAGAUAUGGACUCGGCGAGUCGACGCUGUUCAGCGGAAACCCUAGCCGUUCAGUAUUGGGUUGUAUAUAAGGGUUAUUAUGCCGUCAUUUCACGACUUUUGAUCGAUUGGGAAGAACCCUAGGCGACUGGGGCGGCUAGAGCAAGCUUGAAGGCCAUUGGUGACCUUGAAGGAAUUGUGGUGCAAGGAGGAGAAGGGUUUUAGCUAAAGGAACUGCAGGGAGUUCGAGUUCUGAAGUUUGGGGACAUGGAAGGUACAUCAUUCAGGUAAUAAUUCGGAUUACAUUCUCCUGUGAUUGAUGUGUAUAUAGAUUUAGNAGGUAAUAAUUCGGAUUAUAUUCUCCUGUGAUUGAUGUGUAUAUAGAUUUAGGGUUUAUGGAACCCAUUUGGAGUCUAGAUGGAUUGUUGUGUUGUUAUUCAAC
rnacentral:lncRNA from 1 species